CCUACGGGAGGCAGCAGUGAGGAAUAUUGGUCAAUGGGCGGGAGCCUGAACCAGCCAAGUCGCGUGAAGGAAGAAGGUACUUAGUAUUGUAAACUUCUUUUGUCGGGGAACAAAGGCGGAGACGCGUCUCCGGAUGAGUGUACCCGAAGAAAAAGCAUCGGCUACCUCCGUGCCCGCAGCCGCGGUAAUACGGAGGAUGCGAGCGUUAUCCGGAUUUAUGGGGUUUAAAGGGUGCGCAGGCGGGGGAACAAGUCAGCGGUAAAAUGUCGGGGAUCAACCCCGUCCGGCCGUGGAAACUGGUUUUCUAGAGUGGGAGAGAGGUAAGCGGAAUUCGUGGUGUAGCGGUGAAAUGCAUAGA
rnacentral:rRNA from 1 species